rnacentral:lncRNA from 1 species
CAAUUUCUAAAGUGGGACGAAUUUCUUGAAGGGAAAUUAUGAACAUACAUAAUUGCAAUAUAAACCAAAUUUUACUUUCAAUGGAUCAUUACAAAUGAUCAUGAAUCCGUGAUUGAGUGAUUACCUCUUGUAGCGCAAAACCUUUGAUGGUAGGAACAAAGUUUGAUCACGAGUGCUGCACGAAAAAUAAUGCCUUUACUGAGUCCACAUAAGAAGAAUUCCUCUACUAUCAACUAUGUUAGCUAUGACCAAACAAAAUUUUUGAGAGAGACUGAUUUUAGAUCAGAAGCUUGCGCGGUAAGGGUUUCUCAAAAGUGAAUAUUGAAUAUUCUUUAGCUCAAAGGUCUAUUUAUUGACCUGGUUAUGUAACUGCAAAAUCGUGCCAUGUUAUGAGAAAUUAAUCUUACGUGUCUAGUGUCUUAAUAGAUAAAUCGUGUCACACUGCUGAAAUUUGUGGCACGAUAUGCGAGUAUUUUCGAAUUAUGCUUUUAGUGCUCUUCUGAUGGUUCCACGAUUGUCAUAGAUCAUCGCAUAAUAUUUCCAAUGAUGAAAUGAUGAUUAUAUGCACAAAAUUAUGUCAAAAGGACCAUAAAUUAUAGCACAACGAUAACACUUUAUUUCUG